rnacentral:rRNA from 1 species
UACAGAGGUCUCAAGCGUUGUUCUGAUUCAUUGGGCGUAAAGGGUGCGUAGGUGGCGCCGUAAGUCAGGUGUGAAAUUUCGGAGCUCAACUCCGAAACUGCAUUUGAUACUGCGGUGCUUGAGGACUGGAGAGGAGACUGGAAUUCACGGUGUAGCAGUGAAAUGCGUAGAUAUCGUGAGGAAGACCAGUGGCGAAGGCGGGUCUCUGGACAGUUCCUGACACUGAGGCACGAAGGCCAGGGGAGCAAACGGG